rnacentral:misc_RNA from 1 species
AAGGAUCAUUAAUAAAAAGGAUAUGCUCUACGCAUUACUCCUCUCACGCCUCCUGCCCCCUGAAAAGGGCUGGGGGUUGCAUGAGUCCUUUGACCCUUUGUGAACUUUAUUUUUAUGCUUCGGCAGCACGCUCCUUCCCCCGCGGAGGAGUUGGUAAGGCUGCCGACAGCCAAUUCAAAACUAUUCUAUUGUAAAAUCAUGAAGUCUGAUUAAUGUUAAAUUUAAAAACAAGUUAAAACUUUCAGCAACGGAUCUCUUGGUUCUC